AGACAAAUGGGCUUAACUUUUCUAAAGACUUCACAGAACUGCUAAUUUGGCAAAAGAGUGGAUUGUGAGAAAACGGCUAAUGGAUCAGGAUGGGGGAUCGCCAUGCCUGGCACUCAAUUAGGACUUAGACAAGGAAGGCCAAUGGCCAGGCCAAAUCCAUUGUUUUCAGAAGCUCCCAAAGCUACUGAGUCCAGAAUGCAAGAAGCCAUGCAGUGUUAAGGAAAAUUACCUCUUCUUCAACUCUGGGGAGCAUUUGGUCACCUAGGCCCUAGGAUCAUAAGCAUCUGUUGUUCAGGCACCU
rnacentral:lncRNA from 1 species